rnacentral:RNase_P_RNA from 13 species
GAAUAAAUGAAAGAAAAAGAAAUGGUAGUAAAGAAAGCAAGAAAAGAGGGGGGUUGUAAUUUUGAUUGCCUCUGGAUAUUCUGUUGCUUCUUGUUUGUAUGCUUUUCUUUUUUCGUUCUCCAUUUGU